GCUUUCAACAUCCCCGUUCCAGAUCGAGCGGAGUGCGCGCCGAGCGCGCUGCCUCGUAUUUGGAGCUGAAGGC
rnacentral:sRNA from 12 species